rnacentral:rRNA from 1 species
UACGUAGGGGGCAAGCGUUGUCCGGAUUUAUUGGGCGUAAAGAGCGUGUAGGCGGCCAUGCAGGUCAGCUGUGAAAACUCGAGGCUCAACCUCGAGACGUCGGUUGAAACCAUCUGGCUAGAGUCCGGAAGAGGAGAGUGGAAUUCCUGGUGUAGCGGUGAAAUGCGCAGAUAUCAGGAAGAACACCCGUGGCGAAGGCGGCUCUCUGGGACGGUACUGACGCUGAGACGCGAAAGCGUGGGGAGCGAACAGG